UUUGCGUCGAAGGUAUACCGGUAAGGAGUGCUGGAGCGAAUAGAAGUGAGCAUGCAGGCAUGAGUAGCGAUAAUUAAUGUGAGAAUCAUUAACGCCGUAAACCCAAGGUUUCCUACGCGAUGCUCGUCAUCGUAGGGUUAGUCGGGUCCUAAGUCGAGUCCGAAAGGGGUAGACGAUGGCAAAUUGGUUAAUAUUCCAAUACCAACAUUAGUGUGCGAUGGAAGGACGCUUAGGGCUAAGGGGGCUAGCGGAUGGAAGUGCUAGUCUAAGGUCGUAGGAGGUUAUACAGGCAAAUCCGUAUAACAAUACUCCGAGAACUGAAAGGCUUUUUGAAGUCUUCGGAUGGAUAGAAGAACCCCUGAUGCCGUCGAGCCAAGAAAAGUUUCUAAGUUUAGCUAAUGUUGCCCGUACCGUAAACCGACACAGGUGGGUGGGAUGAGUAUUCUAAGGCGCGUGGAAGAACUCUCUUUAAGGAACUCUGCAAAAUAGCACCGUAUCUUCGGUAUAAGGUGUGGUUAGCUUUGUAUUAGGAUUUACUCCGAAAGCAAGGAAACUUACAACAAAGAGUCCCUCCCGACUGUUUACCAAAAACACAGCACUCUGCUAACUCGUAAGAGGAUGUAUAGGGUGUGACGCCUGCCCGGUGCUCGAAGGUUAAUUGAUGGGGUUAGCAUUAGCGAAGCUCUUGAUCGAAGCCCGAGUAAACGGCGGCCGUAACUAUAACGGUCCUAAGGUAGCGAAAUUCCUUGUCGGUUAAAUACCGACCUGCAUGAAUGGCGUAACGAGAUGGGAGCUGUCUCAAAGAGGGAUCCAGUGAAAUUGUAGUGGAGGUGAAAAUUCCUCCUACCCGCGGCAAGACGGAAAGACCCCGUGGACCUUUACUACAGCUUGACACUGCUACUUGGAUAAGAAUGUGCAGGAUAGGUGGGAGGCUUUGAGUAUAUGACGCCAGUUGUAUAUGAGCCAUUGUUGAGAUACCACUCUUUCUUAUUUGGGUAGCUAACCAGCUUGAGUUAUCCUCAAGUGGGACAAUGUCUGGUGGGUAGUUUGACUGGGGCGGUCGCCUCCCAAAUAAUAACGGAGGCUUACAAAGGUUGGCUCAGAACGGUUGGAAAUCGUUCGUAGAGUAUAAAGGUAUAAGCCAGCUUAACUGCAAGACAUACAAGUCAAGCAGAGACGAAAGUCGGUCUUAGUGAUCCGGUGGUUCUGUGUGGAAGGGCCAUCGCUCAAAGGAUAAAAGGUACCCCGGGGAUAACAGGCUGAUCUCCCCCAAGAGCUCACAUCGACGGGGAGGUUUGGCACCUCGAUGUCGGCUCAUCGCAUCCUGGGGCUGGAGCAGGUCCCAAGGGUAUGGCUGUUCGCCAUUUAAAGCGGUACGCGAGCUGGGUUCAGAACGUCGUGAGACAGUUCGGUCCCUAUCUGCCGUGGGCGUAAGAAGAUUGAAGAGAUUUGACCCUAGUACGAGAGGACCGGGUUGAACAAACCACUGGUGUAGCUGUUGUUCUGCCAAGAGCAUCGCAGCGUAGCUAAGUUUGGAAAGGAUAAACG
rnacentral:rRNA from 1 species